CCCCCCCCAUCCGCGCUCUCUAAAGGACUUACCGUACACAGUGGCAGCCAUCUUUUACCUUACUGUUCAUCGCCGGUGUGAAUUUCAGGCAGCGCUCUCCCGCUUUCCCUGUCCCUCCGCCUUUGCGAUGUGUUUGUGUGUGUGUGUGUUUGUGUGUAUGCGUGUGUGUGUGUGUGGG